rnacentral:rRNA from 1 species
CACGUAGGCGGAUCGAUCAGUCAGGGGUGAAAUCCCAGGGCUCAACCCUGGAACUGCCUUUGAUACUGUCGAUCUGGAGUAUGGAAGAGGUGAGUGGAAUUCCGAGUGUAGAGGUGAAAUUCGUAGAUAUUCGGAGGAACACCAGUGGCGCAGGCGGCUCACUGGUCCAUUACUGACGCUCAAAUGCGAAAGCGUGGGGAUCAAACAGGAUUAGAUACCCUUGUA